CAAAUGUUUUCACCAGCUGUAUGAUGAAUGAUAUUUUUGUGCAACUUUUAUUCAACAGUUGUCCCAUACACUAAAUAUUGUCUAAUGACAAAAAAAAAAUAGCUAAAUGGUUCGACAGAUUUAACAAUGUCUAUUGUGUGUUUGCAUACAUGAAUACACUAGUCUUAAUGUGUAUUAUGUCUGGUAUUAACCUUCCCUUUCUCUUCUGAGUGCCUGUCACAACAGUGGCCUGGGAAUAAAAUCCAAACAAAAACAGCCAUCACUCACCCUGCUGCUCCUUUACAGCAGAUGUCACCACAGUCUGUUCAUGCAGUUACACAACUAAAAGAGAGGCGUGAAACUCUGACACCUGGUGGAGAGACGUUCAUCAUUACAGGUUGUGCAAUCGCCUGUUCUGUGUGUGUCUCAAAUGCAACCAGGCACCAGCGGCGAGGCUCCCCAGCAGGUAUGGCCCACAGCCUGCACUGUGUUGGAAUGCUGAAUGGAGAGGUGUUGCAGUUUGGUUCCUUCUUGCUGGGCUCCUCCUCUACUGUAAAGCCCACCUCCAUGUCAGAUUGCCAUCAAGAAAAGACCAGGACACAUAUCACCAGCAAGUGGCAGCAGAGAGAUUGCUUCAUGUCCAGCAGAGCCUCCAGUAGUCAACUGAAGACAGCAACAUAUUUACACUCUGCUCACAUUCAUCUCAUACAUGAGAUGGAAAGUCUCAUGUGUUUGUUUUUUCACAGGGCAGAAAGACAACGAGGCCGAGGAGCAGGAUUCUCACCGAGGUCAGACAGUUGUUCUGUGGACCACGGACAGUUUUCAUGUGAAAUGUGAUGAUUGCUGCAUGAUAUGUAACCACUCAGCAUUAUCUCUCCCAAGGUCAGAUCACAGAGUGUUAAGGAAAUUAUUCCCAAAGGUCAUCUAAAGAGUAAAUUCAUACACCCAGAAGAACAUGAACUGGUUUGAAACUUUUAAUUACAGAGGGCAGCGAAACGCUGCUUGUCAGUCAGGUGUUGGGUUACUCUUUAUGUAGUCGCUGAAAAUAAUUUCACAAAUGUUAUUAAAUAUUAACAUUGUUACAUCGGACAACAGAGGGUGAGCUAGGUGGCUUAGACUUUUUGGCACUAUUUGCCCUUACUGGAUUGAAGCAGAGAAGAAACAAGACUGCAGGGAACAGAGAGGGGCAACAACGGUCCAGCAUUUGUGAGCAUGCAGCACUUUUAUGGUCAUCACAAAUGAUCUAAACAGUACAUUUAAAUUAAAAGUAAUAACAUUCAGCACUGGUAUCAGAUAUACCCAAUGCAAGUUUAAGAGGUGUUUUAUAGUGGACUGAUGACUGUUUUUGUUUGUCGCCCAUUGGUGACAUGUCACCUACUUCAUGGUCUUGAGGUCUACUUUUCCGGCCUCUCUGAGACCAGCUGCCACGGCGCUGUUCCUCCCAGCUGCACUGCCGGAAACACAGAUGAGUCCACCCGCUUGUUCACAGCUUCUCUGUUACGUUGCUGCAUCUGUAGCUGUUGCUCAUGUAGUAAUGUGAGAAUUUGAGAAAACAUGCUGAUGGUGAAAUGCUUCAUGGAAAAGGACGUCAGUGUGAAACUUUUUUGAUUGACAGAGUAAUUUACUUCCACUCUGCUGCAUUUGGAGGCAAUCAUUGUACUAUUUACACCAAUAUAUUUGUCUCUGUACUACUUGUAGCAGUACAGGUGUUCGAGACUUGCUAUCUUUCUUUGUUUGGAGCUGAUUUUCAGGGAAUUCAGAUCACCUGUGGGCAGGGUGGAAAGACUCACUCCACCCUGUGGAGUGGAAGCAGCUUAGGACGUUUCCCUCCCAGCCAAUCAUGGUGUGACAACAACCUUUUUGUGAAGGAUUAAAAUGGGGGCGAAUGGCACACAGGAGGCUCUCACCCUCAUUCUGAACCUGGCCCUAACCCACUGAGAACCUCAUGCCCCUUACAGUGCCAGCCAGAAACUCUGUCUGCUUAGGGUUCCGUUCAGUCUUCCCUCAGCUGCCCACAACUUUCUAGUGAGGAAACUGUGUUUAUUUUGAAACCCCUUAAAACCCAACCCCCUAUACACCUUCAGUUUGACAUUUUAUUUCCCAUGGGGCUUGUAGAAGGCAUUUGUUUGUUAUCUGUUGUCCAAGUAGUGGACACUGGGCAUUUCCUCCUAGAUUUUCCUGUUUUUUGUUUAUAUUUUCAUGCAAGUUGGGCUGGCCCAUAAGCAUUGUACUGCCAGUACCACCACAUACUUACUGUACUUCAUAUAAUCAUUUUAUCUGGAAUUGGAUUUUUUUUAAAAAAAGAAAAACAACUUCAGAUAAUCAAAAAACUGCUGAGUAUCUAUUCAACUUCAUGCAUUUAUAUACAUGUGUAGUACUAUUCAUGUGUGUGAUUUUCUCUUUGACCAAAAUAAUAUUUUAA